rnacentral:rRNA from 1 species
AGCGAACGCUGGCGGCAGGCCUAACACAUGCAAGUCGAACGAACCCUUCGGGGUUAGUGGCGGACGGGUGAGUAACACGUGGGAACGUGCCUUUAGGUUCGGAAUAACUCAGGGAAACUUGUGCUAAUACCGAAUGUGCCCUUCGGGGGAAAGAUUUAUCGCCUUUAGAGCGGCCCGCGUCUGAUUAGCUAGUUGGUGAGGUAAUGGCUCACCAAGGCUACGAUCAGUAGCUAGUCUGAGAGGAUGACCAGCCACAUUGGGACUGAGACACGGCCCAAACUCCUACGGGAGGCAGCAGUGGGGAGUCUUGCGCAAUGGGCGAAAGCCUGACGCAGCCAUGCCGCGUGGAUGAUGAAGGUCUUAGGAUUGUAAAAUCCUUUCACCGGUGAAGAUAAUGACUGUAGCCGGAGAAGAAGCCCCGGCUAACUUCGUGCCAGCCGCCGCGGUAAUAC